AGGCGGGUAGCUCAGUGGCAGAGCGCUGCUAUUACAUGGCAGAGGCCGAAGGUUCGACUCCUCUCCCCGCCUACCA
rnacentral:tRNA from 1 species